AGACUUUGGUGUGCCUUCAGCACACAUCGAUGAGCUUGCAACUCAACAUGAACUUCACUACAAAGCC
rnacentral:tRNA from 1 species